AUUGAACGCUGGCGGCAGGCUUAACACAUGCAAGUCGAGCGGGGUGAUGGUGCUUGCACUAUCACUUAGCGGCGGACGGGUGAGUAAUGCUUAGGAAUCUGCCUAUUAGUGGGGGACAACAUCUCGAAAGGGAUGCUAAUACCGCAUACGCCCUACGGGAGAAAGCAGGGGAUCACUUGUGACCUUGCGCUAAUAGAUGAGCCUAAGUCGGAUUAGCUAGUUGGUGGGGUAAAGGCCUACCAAGGCGACGAUCUGUAGCGGGUCUGAGAGGAUGAUCCGCCACACUGGGAAUGAGACACGGCCCAGACGCCUACGGGAGGCAGCAGUGGGGAAUAUUGGACAAUGGGGGGAACCCUGAUCCAGCCAUGCCGCGUGUGUGAAGAAGGCCUUAUGGUUGUAAAGCACUUUAAGCGAGGAGGAGGCUCUUUUGGUUAAUACCCAAGAUGAGUGGACGUUACUCGCAGAAUAAGCACCGCUAACUCUGUGCCAGCCGCCGCCGUAA
rnacentral:rRNA from 1 species